CGCAAUCAUUUUAGGCGUCGCGUUCACAGCCGCCAGACCGUAUAUGGGAAGCCGGAAACUGAGCACGCGACACAUGAACACGCAGCUUUUUCAUGAGUUUGAAUGAUCAAAAAUGUCCUAAAACGAAUAUCAGCUCAAGAAGGGGAUGGAUGCAAGAGGACACGAACAAAGCCUUUCAUAGCUGGAAAGAGCAAACAACUGCAAACGCUUGAAAAGAGACGCCGAAGUUGCGUUGUUUCUUUUUGAUAGUGAUCCUGACAUAAACCAAGACGUCUCCUCCGCUGAUGAUAAACAAUGGUAAUGGAUCCAGCACAUGGUUUUGGACACACUCCUGCGUCCCUUCAUCACAGAUUGAGCGAUGAACCCCUGACUCUUUCAAGCAGCCAGGCGUAAAAGGAAAGGCAACAGAGAAUGGUUUCCAGAAUGAAAAAAAAAAAAAAAAACACAGGAAAGAGAAAUGUGGAUCCAGAUGGCUCCUCUGUUCAUGUUCUUGUACAUAUUUAGUCAUAGCGUUUCAAGUGGUGGAUAUUUGCAUGUUGGUUUUGUAAUGCUAAUGAAUAUGCUUUUGAUUUGCAUUGAAGAAUAAAAAGAAGAAGAAAAGAAAGAAA